GAAAAUGUAAAGACGGAGAGGAUUAGAUAGGUAAGUGUAUCAGAGAGGACAGUUCAUUGGCUGAAAGGCUGUCUUGCUUACUGCUUGUUGAAGGUAGCUCCUGAACAGUAUCUUUGAAGGCGAGUAGGAGAUACCGGGUAAUCCCGUUAUAGAAGAAAAGGCAGCAUAUUGCUGUAAAUAAAGGUGGUACCACGGUUCUUCGUCCUUUUC
rnacentral:ncRNA from 1 species